rnacentral:rRNA from 1 species
CGUGAAACUGCGAAUGGCUCAUUAAAUCAGUUAUCGUUUAUUUGAUAGUACCUUACUACUUGGAUAACCGUGGUAAUUCUAGAGCUAAUACAUGCUAAAAACCCCAACUUCGGGAGGGGUGUAUUUAUUAGAUAAAAAACCAACGCCCUUCGGGGCUCCUUGGUGAAUCAUAAUAACUUAACGGAUCGCAUGGCCUUGCGCCGGCGACGGUUCAUUCAAAUUUCUGCCCUAUCAACUUUCGAUUGUAGGGUAUUGGCCUACAAUGGUAUCAACGGGUAACGGGGAAUUAGGGUUCGAUUCCGGAGAGGGAGCCUGAGAAACGGCUACCACAUCCAAGGAAGGCAGCAGGCGCGCAAAUUACCCAAUCCCGACACGGGGAGGUAGUGACAAUAAAUACUGAUACAGGGCUCUUUUGGGUCUUGUAAUUGGAAUGAGUACAAUUUAAAUCCCUUAACGAGGAACAAUUGGAGGGCAAGUCUGGUGCCAGCAGCCGCGGUAAUUCCAGCUCCAAUAGCGUAUAUUAAAGUUGUUGCAGUUAAAAAGCUCGUAGUUGAACCUUGGGCCUGGCUGGCCGGUCCGCCUCACCGCGUGCACUGGUCCGGCCGGGCCUUUCCUUCUGGAGAGCCGCAUGCCCUUCACUGGGUGUGUCGGGGAACCAGGACUUUUACUUUGAAAAAAUUAGAGUGUUCAAAGCAGGCCUUUGCUCGAAUACAUUAGCAUGGAAUAAUAGAAUAGGACGUGCGGUUCUAUUUUGUUGGUUUCUAGGACCGCCGUAAUGAUUAAUAGGGAUAGUCGGGGGCAUCAGUAUUCAAUUGUCAGAGGUGAAAUUCUUGGAUUUAUUGAAGACUAACUACUGCGAAAGCAUUUGCCAAGGAUGUUUUCAUUAAUCAGUGAACGAAAGUUAGGGGAUCGAAGACGAUCAGAUACCGUCGUAGUCUUAACCGUAAACUAUGCCGACUAGGGAUCGGGCGAUGUUAUUAUUUUGACUCGCUCGGCACCUU